AGAGUUUGAUCCUGGCUCAGGAUGAACGCUAGCGGGAGGCCUAACACAUGCAAGCCGAGCGGUAUUGUUUCUUCGGAAACGAGAGAGCGGCGCACGGGUGCGGAACACGUGUGCAACCUGCCUUUAUCUGGGGGAUAGCCUUUCGAAAGGAAGAUUAAUACCCCAUAAUAUUUUGAAUGGCAUCAUUUAGAAUUGAAAACUCCGGUGGAUAGAGAUGGGCACGCGCAAGAUUAGAUAGUUGGUAGGGUAACGGCCUACCAAGUCAGUGAUCUUUAGGGGGCCUGAGAGGGUGAUCCCCCACACUGGUACUGAGACACGGACCAGACUCCUACGGGAGGCAGCAGUGAGGAAUAUUGGACAAUGGGUGAGAGCCUGAUCCAGCCAUCCCGCGUGAAGGACGACGGCCCUAUGGGUUGUAAACUUCUUUUGUACAGGGAUAAACCUAUUUACGUGUGAAUAGCUGAAGGUACUGUACGAAUAAGCACCGGCUAACUCCGUGCCAGCAGCCGCGGUAAUACGGAGGGUGCAAGCGUUAUCCGGAUUUAUUGGGUUUAAAGGGUCCGUAGGCGGAUCCGUAAGUCAGUGGUGAAAUCUCAUAGCUUAACUAUGAAACUGCCAUUGAUACUGCGGGUCUUGAGUAAGGUAGAAGUAGCUGGAAUAAGUAGUGUAGCGGUGAAAUGCAUAGAUAUUACUUAGAACACCAAUUGCGAAGGCAGGUUACUAUGUCUUAACUGACGCUGAUGGACGAAAGCGUGGGGAGCGAACAGGAUUAGAUACCCUGGUAGUCCACGCCGUAAACGAUGCUAACUCGUUUUUGGGCUUUCGGGUUCAGAGACUAAGCGAAAGUGAUAAGUUAGCCACCUGGGGAGUACGAACGCAAGUUUGAAACUCAAAGGAAUUGACGG
rnacentral:rRNA from 1 species